rnacentral:rRNA from 1 species
CCGAAAGGCAGGAGUGCCUGCAAGGGAGCGCGGAGACAGGUGGUGCAUGGCUGUCGUCAGCUCGUGUCGUGAGAUGUUGGGUUAAGUCCCGCAACGAGCGCAACCCUCACCUCUUGUUGCCAUCAGGUCAUGCUGGGCACUCUAGAGGAACUGCCCCGGUCAACGGGGAGGAAGGCGGGGAUGACGUCAAGUCAUCAUGCCCCUUACGUCCUGGGCUACACACGUGCUACAAUGGCCGGUACAAAGGGAUGCCACACCGCGAGGUAGAGCUAAACCCAAAAAGCCGGUCUAAGUUCGGAUUGGAGUCUGCAACUCGACUCCAUGAAGGAGGAAUCGCUAGUAAUCGCGUAUCAGCACGACGCGGUGAGUACGUUCCCGGGCCUUGUACACACCGCCCGUCACACCACGAAAGCCAG